rnacentral:rRNA from 1 species
GACGAACGCUGGCGGCGUGCUUAACACAUGCAAGUCGAACGAUGAACCCGGAGCUUGCUCUUGGGGAUUAGUGGCGAACGGGUGAGUAACACGUGAGUAACCUGCCCUGGACUCUGGGAUAAGCGUUGGAAACGACGUCUAAUACCGGAUAGGACCUUGGACCGCCAGAUCUGGGGUGGAAAGGUUUUUCGGUCUGGGAUGGACUCGCUGCCUAUCAGCUUGUUGGUGAGGUAAUGUGUCACCAAGGCGCCGACGGGUAGCCGGCCUGGGAGGGUGUGCGGCCACGCUGGGACCGAGACACGGACGGGAGGCAGCAGUGAGGCAGAAGGGGGGAAUAGCGCAAGCUUGACGCAGGGCUGACGCGGCAACGCGGCGUGCGUGAGGGCGGUAGUCGGGUUGCGUCACGCAACUAGUCGGGAAGAAGGGCGUCGGCUUGACGGUACCUGCAGAAAAAGGACCGGCUAACUACGUG